rnacentral:rRNA from 1 species
AUUGAACGCUGGCGGCAGGCCUAACACAUGCAAGUCGAACGGUAACAGGAAACAGCUUGCUGUUUCGCUGACGAGUGGCGGACGGGUGAGUAAUGUCUGGGAAACUGCCUGAUGGAGGGGGAUAACUACUGGAAACGGUAGCUAAUACCGCAUAACGUCGCAAGACCAAAGAGGGGGACCUUCGGGCCUCUUGCCAUCGGAUGUGCCCAGAUGGGAUUAGCUAGUAGGUGGGGUAACGGCUCACCUAGGCGACGAUCCCUAGCUGGUCUGAGAGGAUGACCAGCCACACUGGAACUGAGACACGGUCCAGACUCCUACGGGAGGCAGCAGUGGGGAAUAUUGCACAAUGGGCGCAAGCCUGAUGCAGCCAUGCCGCGUGUAUGAAGAAGGCCUUCGGGUUGUAAAGUACUUUCAGCGGGGAUGAAGGGAGUAAAGUUAAUACCUUUGCUCAUUGACGUUGCCCGCAGAAGAAGCACCGGCUAACUCCGUG